AUACGUAGGGGGCGAGCGUUGUCCGGAAUUAUUGGGCGUAAAGCGCGCGCAGGCGGUCCUUUAAGUCUGAUGUGAAAGCCCACGGCUCAACCGCGGAGGGUCAUUGGAAACUGGGGGACUUGAGUGCAGGAGAGGAGAGCGGAAUUCCACGUGUAGCGGUGAAAUGCGUAGAGAUGUGGAGGAACACCAGUGGCGAAGGCGGCUCUCUGGCCUGCAACUGACGCUGAGGCGCGAAGGCGUGGGGAGCAAACAGGAUUAGAUACCCUGGUAGUCUACGCCGUAAACGAUAAGUGCUAAGUGUUAGAGGGGUCACACCCUUUAGUGCUGCAGCUAACGCGAUAAGCACUCCGCCUGGGGAGUACGGCCGCAAGGCUGAA
rnacentral:rRNA from 1 species